rfam:Chaetura pelagica isolate M959 contig29758, whole genome shotgun sequence.
AAAGCAGGCUGCAAUUGCAGUGCCCCAUCCCGUGGGAAUGCUGCCAUGUCCCUGCUGAGAGCAACUCUGUGAACACUGGCUUCGGUUUCACUGUGUGCUGGUGAAACCAUUUGUUCUUAACAGGUACAAGU